UACGUAGGUGGCAAGCGUUGUCCGGAUUUACUGGGCGUAAAGAGCGCGCAGGCGGUCGUUCAAGUCGCGUGUGAAAGCCCCCGGCUCAACUGGGGAGGGUCACGCGAUACUGAUCGACUCGAAGGCAGGAGAGGGAAGUGGAAUUCCCGGUGUAGUGGUGAAAUGCGUAGAUAUCAGGAGGAACACCGGUGGCGAAGGCGGGUCUCUGGGCAACAACUGACGCUGAGGAGCGAAAGCGUGGGGAGCGAACAGG
rnacentral:rRNA from 1 species